GGUGCCGAGGGGCCCGAGACGAUCCCAAAAAAAGUGCUUUACCCCUUCAUGCCUCUUUCCUCCUAUCGCGAUUCUUCUCGAACCCUCCCCUUACGGCCGGCACGUCUGACUUUACAGCGCUGUAACAUGUGAGGGGUCCUGGGGCUUCUUGAAAUGGAGCAUUCUUAUAGAAGGGAGCCGCGUUACAGCGGAAGGACAGUCUGACGGCCGACUGAGAGAGAAUAAUGAAGGUCCUUCAUCGGUCAGAGGCCGUGGUGGGACGAUGUUCACAUAAGUGGAGGGCCUGUGAAUCUGCUCCCUCCGUCUCCGGUUGUGGACCGAGUCGGACCCUCUACUUGGCAAGGGGCUUGGGGCACCUGAACGGAGGCGCUCGCUCAAAGGUGGCCAGAUGCAUCAUGGACGUGUCACCACAGCUGCCAAAUGCUGGACAGGACGGGGCGUGUGGCCAUGAGGACGGGGGCCAGGGCAGCUUAAUCAAACCAGCGUCCUGGGGGGUCAGCCACCUACCAGCACGGCCCGGCCCAUCCAUCUGGGUGUCUCUGGGACAAGCAUCGCUACCGCCACCUUGUGUUCAAAGUUCUGUUUUAAAUAUUUUCUUUGCAACAUUAGAAUUAGUAUCUCUCACACACAGAGCUAAUUCUUAAUUAAAGUCGUCUAAAGCAUGAAUAAUAA